UGGGUUGUAGCUCAGUGGUAGAGUGCUUGCCUAGCAUGCGAGAGGUACUGCGUUUGAUUCUCAGCACCACAU
rnacentral:tRNA from 1 species